UGAAAAGCAGGAAGUUUAGACUAAACGUGU
rnacentral:piRNA from 1 species